rnacentral:rRNA from 1 species
GGAGGAGCUUGCGUCACAUUAGUUAGUUGGUGGGGUAAAGGCCUACCAAGACUAUGAUGUGUAGCCGGGCUGAGAGGUUGAACGGCCACAUUGGGACUGAGACACGGCCCAAACUCCUACGGGAGGCAGCAGUAGGGAAUUUUCGGCAAUGGAGGAAACUCUGACCGAGCAACGCCGCGUGAACGAUGAAGUAUUUCGGUACGUAAAGUUCUUUUAUUAGGGAAGAAUAAAUGAUGGAAAAAUCAUUCUGACGGUACCUAAUGAAUAAGCCCCGGCUAACUAUGUGCCAGCAGCCGCGGUAAUACAUAGGGGGCAAGCGUUAUCCGGAAUUAUUGGGCGUAAAGGGUGCGUAGGCGGUUAAAUAAGUUUAUGGUCUAAGUGCAAUGCUCAACAUUGUGAUGCUAUAAAAACUGUUUAGCUAGAGUAAGAUAGAGGCAAGUGGAAUUCCAUGUGUAGUGGUAAAAUGCGUAAAUAUAUGGAGGAACACCAGUAGCGAAGGCGGCUUGCUGGGUCUUUACUGACGCUGAGGCACGAAAGCGUGGGGAGCAAACAGGAUUAGAUACCCUGGUAGUCCACGCCGUAAACGAUGAGUACUAAACGUUGGGUAAAACCAGUGUUGAAGUUAACACAUUAAGUACUCCGCCUGAGUAGUACGUACGCAAGUAUGAAACUUAAAGGAAUUGACGGGACUCCGCACAAGCGGUGGAUCAUGUUGUUUAAUUCGAAGGUACCCGAAAAACCUCACCAGGUCUUGACAUGCUUCUGCAAAACUGUAGAAACACAGUAGAGGUUAUCAGUUGCACAGGUGGUGCAUGGUUGUCGUCAGCUCGUGUCGUGAGAUGUUGGGUUAAGUCCCGCAACGAGCGCAACCCUUAUUGUUAGUUACCAGCACGUAAUGGUGGGGACUUUAGCAAGACUGCCAGUGAUAAAUUGGAGGAAGGUGGGGACGACGUCAAAUCAUCAUGCCCCUUAUGACCUGGGCUACAAACGUGAUACAAUGGCUGUUACAAAGGGUAGCUGAAGCGCAAGUUUUUGGCGAAUCUCAAAAAAACAGUCUCAGUUCGGAUUGAAGUCUGCAACUCGACUUCAUGAAGUUGGAAUCGCUAGUA